GUUGCUCUUUUAAGACUUCCGAAAGCAUGCUCCACACCUCGUCCCUCUCAGAUUUUGGACGUCUCUUCAGAUUCUUACAUCUUGAGUCGAGAACUGUAGCUAUUUUUAGAAAUCUCACAUUGGUACCUUCUUUGCCUUUUGUGAAAAAUC